CACUCCUGCGGGAGGCAGCAGUGGGGAAUUUUGGACAAUGGGCGAAAGCCUGAUCCAGCCAUGCCGCGUGCAGGAUGAAGGCCUUCGGGUUGUAAACUGCUUUUGUACGGAACGAAACGGCCUUUUCUAAUAAAGAGGGCUAAUGACGGUACCGUAAGAAUAAGCACCGGCUAACUACGUGCCAGCAGCCGCGGUAAUACGUAGGGUGCAAGCGUUAAUCGGAAUUACUGGGCGUAAAGCGUGCGCAGGCGGUUAUGUAAGACAGUUGUGAAAUCCCCGGGCUCAACCUGGGAACUGCAUCUGUGACUGCAUAGCUAGAGUACGGUAGAGGGGGAUGGAAUUCCGCGUGUAGCAGUGAAAUGCGUAGAUAUGCGGAGGAACACCGAUGGCGAAGGCAAUCCCCUGGACCUGUACUGACGCUCAUGCACGAAAGCGUGGGGAGCAAACAGGAUUAGAUACCCGGGUAGUCCCAU
rnacentral:rRNA from 1 species